rnacentral:pre_miRNA from 1 species
CUCCUGUGGGUGUUUCUCUGGCAGUGUCUUAGCUGGUUGUUGUGAGGAGUGAGAACGAAGCAAUCAGCAAGUAUACUGCCGCAGAAACUCUUCGC